GACGAACGCUGGCGGCAGGCUUAACACAUGCAAGUCGAACGCACCGCAAGGUGAGUGGCAGACGGGUGAGUAACGCGUGGGAACGUACACUUCGGUUCGGAAUAGCUCCGGGAAACUGGAAUUAAAACCGGAUACGCCCUUAGGGGAAGAUUAUCGCCGAGGAUCGCCCGCGUCAGAUUAGGUAGUUGGUAGGGUAACGGCCUACCAAGCCGAUGAUCUGUAGCUGGUCUGAGAGGAUGANCAGCCACACUGGGACUGAGACACCGGCCCAGACUCCUACGGGAGGCAGCAGUGGGGAAGUAUUGGACAAUGGGCGCAAGCCUGAUCCAGCCAUGCCGCGUGGAUGAAGAAGGCCCUA
rnacentral:rRNA from 1 species